AGGGCGCAUGGCGGAUGCCUUGGCUCUCGGAGGCGAUGAAGGACGUGAUAAGCUGCGAUAAGCUUUGGGGAGGUGCAAAUGACCUUUGAUCCAGAGAUUUCCGAAUGGGACAACCCAAUAUCUUGAAGAGGUAUUAUCCAACGUUGUUGGAGGCUAACGCAGGGAACUGAAACAUCUUAGUACCUGCAGGAAAAGAAAAUAAACAAUGAUUCCCCCAGUAGUGGCGAGCGAACGGGGAACAGCCCAAACCAUCCAUGUUACGGCAUGGGUGGGGUUGUAGGACUACGCCGUUGCAUGAAGACAUCAGAGAAGAACUUUCUGGAAAGAAAGACCAUAGAGCAUGACAGUUGCGUAUUCGAAUGUUGUCGAAGCAUAGUAGUAUCCUGAGUAGCGCGGAGCACGAGGAAUUCUGCGUGAAUCUGCCGGGACCAUCCGGUAAGGCUAAAUACUCCCGAGAGACCGAUAGCGAACCAGUACCGUGAGGGAAAGGUGAAAAGCACUUCGAACAGAAGAGUGAAAUAGUUCCUGAAACCGUGCGCCUACAAGCGGUCGGAGCUCGUUAAUGAGUGACGGCGUGCCUUUUGCAUAAUGAACCUACGAGUUGCCUUUGCCGGCAAGGUUAAGUGUGACGACACACGUAUCCGAAGCGAAAGCGAGUCUGAACAGGGCGUAUAGUCGGCAGUGGCAGACGCGAAACCAAGUGAUCUACCCUUGGCCAGGUUGAAGGCUGGGUAACACCAGCUGGAGGACCGCACCAAUAAGCGUUGAAAAGCUUCUGGAUGAGCUGAGGGUAGGGGUGAAAGGCUAAUCAAACUUGGAGAUAGCUCGUACUCCCCGAAAUGCAUUUAGGUGCAGCCUUGCGGGUUACUGAUGUGAGGUAGAGCGACUGAUAAGAUGCGAGGGCUUCACCGCCUAUCAAGUCUUGACAAACUCCGAAUGCGCAUCAGUUCUACCGCAGGAGUGAGGGCAUGGGUGCUAAGGUCCGUGCCCGAGAGGAGAAGAAUCCGGACCACCUGCUAAGGUCCCGAAAUGACAGCUAAGUUAAACUAACGAAGUCUGACUGCUAAGACAGCUAGGAUGUUGGCUUGGAAGCAGCCAUUCAUUUAAAGAGUGCGUAACAGCUCACUAGUCGAGGAGUCGGGCGUGGAUAAUAAUCGGGUAUCAAGUUGUCUACCGAAGCAGUGGGAUCAUUAAUAUGAUCGGUAGGGGAGCAUUCCAGUCAGCGUCGAAGGCGUACCGUGAGGUAUUCUGGAGCGUCUGGAAAAGCAAAUGUAGGUAUAAGUAACGAUAAAGGGGGCGGGAAACCCCCUCGCCGAAAGACUAAGGUUUCCUGAUCAACGCUAAUCGGAUCAGGGUCAGUCGGGUCCUAAGGCUCAGCCGAACGGCGAUGCCGAUGGCAGAAACGGUUAAUAUUCCGUUACUACCUUCAGGAGUGACGUGGAGACGCAGUAGUGACAGUGCCGCCAUCUGACGGAAUAGAUGGUUGAAGGGUGUAGGAGUCGAUCAUGGCAGGCAAAUCCACCAUGAGAUCCGAACCUGACAGUAUGCCGCGUCCUUCGGGACAAGGCAAUAGUGCGCGUAAGCAUGCUGCCGAGAAAAUCCGCUAAACUUAAUCCUGCAGGUACCCGUACCGCAAACGGACACACGUAGUCGGGAUGAAUAUUCUAAGGCGCUUGAGUGAUUCACGGUUAAGGAACUAGGCAAACUGACCCUGUAACUUCGGGAUAAAGGGUCCCUACCCUUUUAUGGGAGGGCGCAGAGAAUCGGUCCAGGCAACUGUUUAACAAAAACACAGGGCUGUGCCAAAUCGAAAGAUCCAGUAUACAGCCUGACACCUGCCCGGUGCUGGAAGGUUAAGAGGAGAUGUCAUCGAUAAGAGAAGCGUUGAAUUGAAGCCCCAGUAAACGGCGGCCGUAACUAUAACGGUCCUAAGGUAGCGAAAUUCCUUGUCGGGUAAGUUCCGACCUGCACGAAUGGUGUAAUGAUCUGGACACUGUCUCAACCGUGAGCUCAGUGAAAUUGUAGUAUCGGUGAAGAUGCCGAUUACCCGCGAUGGGACGAAAAGACCCCGUGAACCUUUACUAUAGCUUAUCAUUGAAUCUGGGCACGUGAUGUGUAGGAUAGGUCGGAGGCUUUGAAGCAGGUACGCCAGUAUUUGUGGAGCCGCUGUUGAAAUACGACCCUUUAUUUGUUUGGAUUCUAACCCGUGGAACGGGGACAUUGAUUGGUGGGUAGUUUGACUGGGGUGGUCGCCUCCAAAAGCGUAACGGAGGCUUCUAAAGGUGCCCUCCGGCCGAUUGGUAACCGGCCUUAGAGUGUAAUGGCAUAAGGGCGCUUGACUGGGAGACUAACAAGUCGAUCAGGUAGGAAACUAGAGCAUAGUGAUCCGGUGUUUCCGUAUGGAAGGGACAUCGCUCAAAGGAUAAAAGGUACUCCGGGGAUAACAGGCUGAUCCCUCCCAAGAGCUCAUAUCGACGGAGUGGUUUGGCACCUCGAUGUCGGCUCGUCACAUCCUGGGGCUGGAGAAGGUCCCAAGGGUUGGGCUGUUCGCCCAUUAAAGUGGCACGCGAGCUGGGUUCAGAACGUCGUGAGACAGUUCGGUCUCUAUCUAUCGUGGGCGUAUGAAAUUUGCGUGGCUCUGACACUAGUACGAGAGGACCGUGUUGGACAGACCUCUGGUUUGCCGGUUGUGCCGCCAGGUGCAUUGCCGGGUAUCUAAGUCUGGAUCGGAUAAGUGCUGAAAGCAUCUAAGUACGAAGCCGGCCACAAGAUUAGAUUUCUCAGGGUCGUUGU
rnacentral:rRNA from 1 species